GAGAUUUUUGUUUUUUUAACUUGUUGAACCAAACUUGCUAUUAUUCUUACUUAUCUCUUAUUAUUACCAUCUUCCAAAUGCAUUACAAAUGUUAUAUAGUCAUUUCUUCAACAGUGCAUUACAAAUGUUACUAACUUCUCUCUUCCAGUGUGCAUGUGUUACUAACCCAAUGUUGUUUGUCUCAUGCUUUGUAAGCAGCGUAGAGUCUUGUGGUUAUUAGCCUCUGAGGUUU